rnacentral:rRNA from 1 species
CAACCUGGUUGAUCCUGCCAGUUGACAUAUGCUUGUCUCAAAGACUAAGCCAUGCAUGUCUAAGUAUAAACAACUUUAUACUGUGAAACUGCGUACAGCUCAUUAUAUCAGCAAUUAUUUAUUUGAUGGUUCCUUACUACUUGGAUACCCGUAGUAAUUCUAGAGCUAAUACAUGCGCAAAGUCCCAACCUUC